CAUGCAUGCCACGGGAAUGCACAUCAAGCAAGUGGGUCAGGUCAUAAGCAUUCUUAAAAUCUCACGCAUGUGCACGCGCGCUUCCUCCUUCAGUUCAUCUGCAUGAUGGCAUUGGAAGGCAGUCAGUAUUUGCUACGGAACUCCCCCUAGAAGGUGAAAGUCACAAAUCUUUACUGAAACGAGAGCACACAGUCUGCAAAAAAUAACUGAAAUGGUGCAUUCGGGCACUAAGAAACCUUGGUAAUAACUACAUUACCCCACCUCUCCAUGUGAAACUAAUCCCAUUGGAAUUGGUAACACUCCAAAAAAUGUCUUAGUUCUGAAAACGGCAAACAAGGUAUGUUCAGACUACAGGUAUGUUGUCAUUUUGUCAAUAUAAAAACAGACUAAUCAUUGUAGCAGAAUCAUUUUCAAAUUUUGAGGAAAAUAAAUGCCUUCCAGAGAUGGGGUCAAGUUACCAUUUUAAUUUUGGGAGUUAUUUAAAA